rnacentral:lncRNA from 1 species
AUGGUGAUUAUUAGCAGAUGUGGCUGCUGUUUAUUGCAAGUGCUGGAGGCUGCUUCUUGGCCUCAUUGGCUGUCCAUACUCAUGACAACUCCAGCCCCAGUAUUUCUUGAGAGGGCAGUUCUUGCUGUACCCGUGAACUGUGGGGGCCACCUGAAUAUACUUCACGGACCCCAUGAAAAUGCCUUUGGAUUUGCCAAGAUGACCUCCUCCACCUGGAGCAUUGUGAUCAUUCACACCAUCAGCUCUAAUCUAAUUUUCAUAAAGGACAAGAAUUUUCAUGUGCUUUGUUCACUGCUGUGUCCCCAGAGCCUAGAACAGUGCCACAGAGAGAUGAUGAAAAGGGCCGCAAAGCUUCUCCAGAGGGGGAUGCUUCUUCAGAAGGAACAUCAAGUUGCCAGACUUCACAGGUCUCUCUCCUCAUCUCACCAACAUCUUCACCCAUCCCAUGUGGCACAUGAAGGAAUGAGUUUUGUGUUUUCUGUCCUUCCUCUCUCCCUCCUCAUCCGCCAAGCUAGAGUGUGUGUACACAGCAUCCCUAGUCUUCAUGUCCAUGCUUUAUGUCCAUGUGUUGGGAAAAUUACAUAUGUGUGCCCCAUAACUUUCUUGAUUUGGUCCAAAUUUUUAUUUAUUUAUUCUUUAUUUUCCUGAUAGUGUUCUGAGUUC